rnacentral:rRNA from 1 species
UACCUUGUAGUCCACGCGGUAAACGAUGAAUGUUAGGUGUUGCGGGUAUCGACCCCUGCAGUGCCGAGUAAACACAAUAAAACAUUCCGCCUGGGGAGUACGGCCGCAAGGUUGAAACUCAAAGGAUUGACGGGGGCCCGCACAAGCAGCGGAGCAUGUUGUUUAAUUCGAAGCAACGCGAAGAACUUACCAGGUCUUGACAUCGAGGUAAAGCCAUAGAGAUAUGGGGUGGCUUCGGCCGACCGAGACAGGUGGUGCAUGGUUGUCGUCAGCUCGUGUCGUGAGAUGUUGGGUUAAGUCCCGCAAGAGCGCAACCCUUAUGGUCAGUUACUAACGCGUGAAGGCGAGGACUCUGACAAGACUGCCGGGACAACUCGGAGGAAGGUGGGGACGACGUCAAAUCAUCAUGCCCCUUAUGACCUGGGCACAAACGUGCUACAAUGGUGACAACAAAGAGGAGCGAGACCGUAAGGUGGAGCGGAUCUCAAAAAGUCAUCCCAGUUCGGAUUGUGGGCUGCAACCCGCCCACAUGAAGUUGGAGUUGCUGUAAUCGCGGAUCAGCAUGCCGCGGUGAAUACGUUCCCGGGCCUUGCACACACCGCCCGU